rnacentral:lncRNA from 1 species
GUACCAAAUUACAUAUAUCUGUCAAAAUGAUGUAGGACCUAAAGUGUCUCUGUAAGUUGAUCCUCUUGACCCCAUGAUUAGGAGCUUCACAAUGUGAUACCACACCUGGAAACCUCCAGAACAAGAUCUCAAGGAAACACAGGAAAUUCCUGAAACAGCAAAACCCCCUAUGUGAAGACGCCUGUUAUUCCUUUGUGCAUCAGGAGCAUCACUGUUAAUUAACUGUUGAUACACUUAAAAGAGCUUGGUUGGCAAUGUCCUUUUUGAAAAAAGAAGAGCCAGGUAUGUUAUUCAGGAUGAACUAGACAAUGCUGUCACAAGUUUACCUCUACGUCUUAUUGCCUUGGAAAAAUUGCCUGCAUAUUGUGGCACAAGAUGGUUGGCUCUCCAGGCAGCAGUUGGCAUUGUGAAUCAGUCUUCUCAGCAUGUAUCUACAAGAUCCCACGGCAGGGGAAAAAAGAGGUGGAGGGUCACAUGCCUGGUGUUACAUACUUCAAGGCAGAGGUGGUAGGUGCCAUUUCUGCUCACAGCUCAUGGACCAGAACAAAGCCAUGCAUACCUGCGAGAGGACCAGAAAAUAUUCUGAAGCACAUGGCUAUUUGGAAAAGAAGAGAUGGAAGGAAGCUGUUGCUUCAUUUUCUGUUCAUAGCAGGGAAGAGAGAAUAUCAGAGUUUGAUGGGAGCAGGCACAGCCAGAAGAAGAAGCAGAAAAAUUAUUUCAGCAUUUUGA